UACGUAGGGGGCAAGCGUUGUCCGGAAUCAUUGGGCGUAAAGCGCGUGUAGGCGGCUUGGUAAGUCUGAUCUGAAAGUCCAGGGCUCAACCCUGGGAUGCGGUUGGAUACUGCCGAGCUCGAGUCCGGAAGAGGCGAGUGGAAUUCCUGGUGUAGCGGUGAAAUGCGCAGAUAUCAGGAGGAACACCAAUGGCGAAGGCAGCUCGCUGGGACGUGACUGACGCUGAGACGCGAAAGCGUGGGGAGCAAACAGG
rnacentral:rRNA from 1 species